rnacentral:lncRNA from 1 species
UGAAUAACACUUGGAAAUUAUCUGAUUCUUUCUCCGCUUGAAAAGCUCAGAACACACUUCAGCCCAAUAGAGGUGUCCUGCCACAGCUACGAGCUCGAAUCCCAUCUCCAAUACAGAAGUAGCCUGUCAAGGAAACUGAGGCAGAAUUUGCUGGAUGAUGUAAUGGGACUGUAACCUUCAAGUUAAACUAAAGAUAAGUGUCCCUGUUUGAUGACAGCUUGUACAUUUAUGGGAUUUGAAACAGACUCAUGAUCCGUCUUCCAGCAUCCUGCCUCCAAUAGGGGACAAUGCCAGAUGUCUCACCAAAAGG